UCGGUUUUCUCCUACUUGAAACCGCUUCGUCCUUUCGCAGCAUUUCACCGCGCCAGGAUUCAGGCUCCGGCUGACUGUGCAAAUACAGGCGCCUGGCUUCCUGCACCAGCGCCUCCCCAGACGCGCCUUGAGAGAUCCGCAGCCCUGCGCAAAGAUACUCGGCUACAAGUUCUACAGUGGGAUUUGAUCUUCCAAACUGGUGGAAAGUGUUGAAGAAAAGUUCAUGUUGAUCUGAGGCGAGAGGAGAGGAAGAAGAAGGAGAAGGAGAAGGAGAAGGAGAAGGAGAAGGAGAAGGAGAAGGAGAAGAGACUAAAAUGAACAUUCCUAAAGACUUUUCUUCCUUUGCAUGGCUCAACAUUCUCAACAAGACUUGGCCUAUUUCUGUGUGCAACAGUUCUUGCUCAGCCAUUUACAGUACAACCUCUGGUCACGAAUACUCCUGACCACGACCAAAUCGGGUUCUGACCAAAAAAUGCACCUUUUUUUUCCACGGUUGAUUUCCCCUUCCACCCCAUUUUUUUUGUAAGUGCCAUAUUUCCAAAAUUAGGUUUGGAUCACCAGUUAUGGAACAAAUUAUGGUCGUGAUCAGGGGUUCUACUGUAUAUAGUUGCUCUUUCUGAAAAACCCAAGGUUUGUGUAGACGUCUAGAUCAGCAGCCCCCAACUGUUCCAGCUCCAGAGACUAAUUUCAGAAGAAAAAUUGUCUUCCACAGACCAGAGGUGGGAGGAUGGUUUCACACGCGCAACCUAGAUCUGCUCAUCCACAGAUGAAGUUUCAUUCGCUCACUCACUGCUUGCGUG